rnacentral:rRNA from 1 species
UUAGGAAUAUUCGUCAAUGGGGGAAACCCUGAACGAGCAAUGCCGCGUGAAGGAAGACGGUCCUCUGGAUUGUAAACUUCUGUUGUUAGGGAAGAACGACCAUUAUAGGAAAUGAUAAUGGAGUGACGGUACCUUUCAAGAAAGCUCCGGCUAACUACGUGCCAGCAGCCGCGGUAAUACGUAGGGAGCGAGCGUUAUCCGGAAUUAUUGGGUGUAAAGCGUGUGUAGGCGGGAAAUUAAGUCUAAGGUCUAAGCCCGGAGCUCAACUCCGGUUCGCCUUAGAAACUGAUUUUCUUGAGUGUGGUAGAGGCAAACGGAAUUUCUAGUGUAGCGGUAAAAUGCGUAGAUAUUAGAAGGAACACCAGUGGCGAAGGCGGUUUGCUGGGCCACUACUGACGCUGAGACACGAAAGCGUGGGGAGCAAAUAGG